AGGGUUGUAGCUCAGUGGCAGAGCAUUUGCUUUGAAUGCAAAAGGUUCUUGGUUCAAUUCCUGGCAUCUCCA